GAUGAACGCUGGCGGCGUGCCUAAUACAUGCAAGUCGAACGCUGGAAAUCUAGCUUGCUAGAUUGAAGGAGUGGCGAACGGGUGAGUAAUACAUAAGCAACCUACCCACGAAGACUGGGAUAAUCUCUGGAAACGGGGACUAAUACCGGAUAGGUAAUCGGAAGGCAUCUUCUGAUUAUUAAAGGUUAAAAACACAGGUGGAUGGGCUUAUGGCGCAUUAGUUAGUUGGUGAGGUAACGGCCCACCAAGACGAUGAUGCGUAGCCGGCCUGAGAGGGUGAACGGCCACAUUGGGACUGAGACACGGCCCAGACUCCUACGGGAGGCAGCAGUAGGGAAUUUUCGGCAAUGGGGGAAACCCUGACCGAGCAACGCCGCGUGAGUGAUGACGGCCUUCGGGUUGUAAAGCUCUGUUGUAAGGGAAGAACGGUAGAUAGAGAAUAUCUAAAUGACGGUACCUUACCAGAAAGCCACGGCUAACUACGUG
rnacentral:rRNA from 1 species